rnacentral:rRNA from 1 species
ACGUAGGGGGCAAACGUUGUCCGGAUUUACUGGGUGUAAAGGGUGCUCAGGCGGUUUUGUAAGUCAGAAGUGAAAUCCUAGAGCUUAACUCUGGAACUGCUUUUGAUACUGCAAAGCUUGAAUGUGGGAGGAGGAUGGAAUUUCUGGUGUAGCAGUGAAAUGCGUAGAUAUCAGAAAGAACACCAGUGGCGAAGGCGAUCCUCUGGUCCAUUAUUGACGCUAAAGCACGAAAGCGUGGGGAGCAAACAGGAUUAGAUACCCUGGUAGUCCACGCCUUAAACGAUGAAUACUAGAUGUUGGGGUUAAACUCAGUAUCGCAGCUAACGCAUUAAGUAUUCCACCUGGGGAGUACGAUCGCAAGGUUG